rnacentral:tRNA from 1 species
GGGGAUUUAGCUCAGUGGUAGAGCGCCUGCCUAGUAAGCGCAAGGCCCUGGGUUCAGACCCCAGCUCCG